AGCAGCCGCGGUAAUUCCAGCUCCAAUAGCGUAUAUUAAAGUUGUUGCAGUUAAAAAGCUCGUAGUUGAAUUUCGAGACCGGUCUACUGGUCGUGCUUUUGUACGUACUGGUUUUAUUGGUUUCUCCUUUCUGACGAACUAUAAUGCCAUUAAUUUGGUGUUAUAGGGAAUCAGGACUGUUACUUUGAAAAAAUUAGAGUGUUUAAAGCAGGCUCACGCUUGAAUACAUUAGCAUGGAAUAACGGAAUAGGACGUUUGAUUUUAUUUUGUUGGUUUCUAGGAUCGACGUAAUGAUUAAUAGGGAUAGUUGGGGGCAUUAGUAUUCAAUUGUCAGAGGUGAAAUUCUUGGAUUUAUUGAAGACUAACUACUGCGAAAGCAUUUGCCAAGGAUGUUUUCAUUAAUCAAGAACGAAAGUUAGGGGAUCGAAGACGAUCAGAUACCGUCGUAGUCUUAACCAUAAACUAUGCCGACUAGGGA
rnacentral:rRNA from 1 species